AGACUCUUCGCUUCAUCAUGGGGAGCUCUAUGAUUUAAAAAGCAAUUGGAUGUGGUGUUUGCUUGGGGGGUGGGGUGAUGUGGUUUUUUUUGGGUGUGUGGUUUUUUGUGAUGCAGCUUUUUUAUUUACUGGCCUUCGUCUUGAUCCAUUGCUUGUAGGAGACGUGCUUUCCUUUACUGCCCUGGCAGUCACUGAGCUGCUGUUCUCAUCAAUAAGAAUCAGCUGAAGCUGGAUGUGACUGAAUUCUUAAAACAACCCAUCGUCGAUAUCUGGCUACAAACCAAAGAGUGGCAGACCUAGAAUAUGCUGAUAGGUGUAGAGUGAGGCCACGUGAGUCAUGAUGAAAUAUGCAGACAACAAACGUGUCUCUUAAGAGUGAGGUACUCUGAAAUGUCAAGGUUGUGUACAAGGGCUGUGAAACUACCUGUAGCUCAAAGUGAAAUCCCAGCAAACUGUCCUGCUAUUAUUUUUAAAAGCGCCGUUACCAUUGUGUGUCACUUGAGCAAUGGGAAGCCAGCAGAACACAGCCUGCAGGCAUCACAACGUGUGACACAGACACAGCCCCAGUUGCCACUGUCUUCCAACGUGUAUCAUCUUGGUGAUCUCUGAAGGUGCUGACAGGGGAAAUGGAGUGCGACGAGAGGACCGGCACAGCAAAGACUACUAGGUAGGGAAAGGCCUCUGAAAGCAUGUUGUGCACCAAAAAUGAUCCUUUGAUGGUAAAAUAGCCCCAAUCUUUUGCUUGCCACAGCGUGUGGUAUUAGGAGACUCUUGAUCUGAGCAUCUGAAAGAGAAGAUGCAGGAAAUACGGCUGAAAUGGUUUUCAUUGAUUUCAUAGUCUCUGCCUUCUCACCCACCUGUAAAAAAAAAAAAAGGCAUCUUUGUGAAAAUAGGAAGCAGUGGGUGAGACAUAAGUACAUUUCUGACAUUUAAGGGAGACUGCUCCUGUGCUCACAAUCCCACCAAGAUAAGCUGUUGGCAUUAAGAGUGUCAGAAAAAAAGUUGAGAGAGGA
rnacentral:lncRNA from 1 species